AGGAAGAAGAAGAAGGGGAAGACCAUCUCCCUAACAGACUUUCUAGUUGAGGAGCUGAGUAUGGGGGUACUGGUGAAGGAAGCACUUAUGUCCCCAAACCAGUCAGCUGGGCUGAUGAAACAGACGACCUAAAAGGACAUGUGUCAACAACUUGGCACUUGGCAUAGUAACGAUGGCUAUGUGUAUAUCGGGCACCUCCAAUUGACCAUUCCAUCCUUUCCACUGCUCCAUGGUCUGCUCAGGAACCCAAUAUCGACCGAAGCCGUCUUCCCAAAUCACCACCCUACACUGCUUUCCUAGGGAACCUGCCCUAUGAUGCGACAGAGGACUCCAUUAAGGAGUUCUUUAGAGGACUAAAUAUCAGCGCUGUACACUUACCACGUGAACCCAGCAAUCCAGACAGGUUAAAAGGCUUUGGCUAUGCGGAAUUUGAAGACCUGGAUUCUCUGUUCAGUGCUCUGAAUCGCAAUGAAGAGUAUCUAGGCAACCGGAGAAUACGAGUGGAUGUUGCUGAUCAAGCACAGGAUAAAGUCCGGGAUGAUCAUUCUUUUCGUCGAGACAGAAAUCGAGAUUCUGACAAAACAGACACAGAUUGGAGGGCCUGUCCUGCUGCAGACAACUUUGAUGACUACCCACCUAGAAGAGGUGAUGAGAGCUUUGGAGACAAGUAUCGAGAUCGUUACUAUUCAGACAGGUAUCAGGAUGGAUACCGGGACAGGUAUCGGGAUGACCCACGUCGAGAUAUGUAUGGAUCGCUAUGGGGGCCGGGAUCGCUAUGACGACCGAGGCAGCAGAGACUAUGACGGAGGCUAUGACUCCAGAAUAGGCAGUGGCAGAAGAGCCUUUGUCAGUGGGUACCAUAGGGAUGAUGACUUCGGAGGAGGUGGAGACCGCUAUGAAGACCGAAAUGAAAGAAGGGAUGAUGGGUCAUGGAGCUCCAGGGAUGAUUACUCUCGGGACGAUUAUAGACGUGAUGACAGAGGUUCCUCUCAAAGACCCAAACUGAAUCUAAAGCCUCGGGGUACUCCUGAGGAAGAUGAUUCCUCUGCUAACACCUCCCUGUCCAGCCAAACGGCUUCUAUAUUUGGAGGGGCAAAACCUGUUAGAGAAAGAGAAGUAGAAGAGCGGCUGCAGAAGGAGCAGAAGUUGCAGCGGUGGCUGGAUGAGCCAAAACUAGACCGCCGGCCGCGGGAGAGACACCCAAGUUGGCGAAGUGAAGAAACUCAGGAAAGGGAAUGGUCAAGGACGGGAAGUGAGUCAUCGCAGACUGAGGCCUCAGCCACAUCUGGCAGAAAUACAGGAAGGAGAGAGAGUGAGAAGUCUCCAGAAAAUGAAACCCUCAAUAAAGAAGACUGUCACUCUCCAACCUCCAAACCUCCUAAACCUGAUCAGCCACUAAAGGUCAUGCCAGCCCCUCCACCAAGGAGAAUGCGUGGGUGAAACGAAGCUCUAACCCUCCUGCUCCUUCUCAGUGCUCAGACACAGAGCAGCAGUCCCUACAAGUGGUGGAGGAAAAGUAGCUCCAGCUCAGCCCUCUACAGACCGACCAUCGAGGAAAGAUGGAAGUAAAGUAGAUGGGGUGAGUGUCUUAAGAGGCCAAACUGGGAGCUCCAGUCGCGGACCUGGGAUGUAGAGAACAGAGACAACUGAAGGAGUUGGAUAGGAAAGAAGGCAAAAACGAUAAAGACUCGAGAUCUGCACCUGAGCCAAAGAAAUCUGAGGAGAUCCCAGCCUCUAAGUUCAGCUCUGCAAGCAAGUAUGCUGCUCUCUCUCUGGAUGGUGAAGAUGAAACUGAGGGAGACGACCACACUGUGCUUUCUUCUAGUCUCCACCCUGGAACACUCAAGGGCAAAUAAAACCUCUAUCCAGACAAGAAAAAAUAAAACUCACUAUCUCCUGGAGACCUUUCUUAACUUUUUUUUUAAUGAAAUGAAAUUGUUUUGCAUGCCGCUGCAGCCUUUUAAAGUAUUGAAGUAACUGGAGAAUCAGUCACCACCAUAGAGAUAUG